rnacentral:misc_RNA from 1 species
AGCACACAUUCACAGGCGCCAUCGCCUUUAGCACACCCAGGCACGUCGCCGGGCGGUGAUGCCGAGCUCUUUGCCCCUGUCCUCGUCGUCGUUGUCCUCCUCUUCCCCUCGUUGCUCAGGCACUUUCGCACUCCCUUGCUCUCUAUCUCUCCUCCGUCUGUGAGCGCCGCACUGGCAACCCAGGCAUAGAGAGCGGGAGAGAAGAGCUUCGUGGUCGAUUGAAACGCAUGCGCGUAUACACACAAGCACACCCUUAGCACCUACACCCUCUACAUGCGCUGAGUCGUUAGCGGCUGAUGGACACGCGCUUCCACUGCGUGUACUUGCUCACCAGUCUCGACCCUCAGUGCGAGGGCGACUUCUACAUUGGCUACACCGUGAACCCCCUGCGACGGCUGCGGCAGCACAAUGGCGAGCUCGUGAACGGCGCCCGACGCACGAGUCGCCGUGGUCGGCCGUGGACGAUCGUGUGCUGUGUCUCGGGUUUCCCUGACGAUCGAGCCGCGCUGAAGUUCGAGUGGUGCUGGCAGCACCCGACCGCAUCCGCGCGACUGAGGCACGCGAUCGACAUUCUCACGGGUCUGCGGCGGCUUCCCUAUGCGGUGGCCACGCUGCACCUCCUCGUGCGCGCCUCCCUCUUUUGCCAGCUGGAUCUGACGCUGCACAUCUUUGAGUCAGCACUCCUACAGGAGGCGGCAGCCAGGGCGGAGGUGCUCCUGGCGAGACGCCGUGGUGCCUUUGCCGUGGGCGGAGGGCUGCGAGCCUCGUCACCGCGAGUGGGCACACAACAUUCGCAGAGAAGCUCGUCCUUGCAAGGGCAGGCAGACGGUGUUGCGACACCGCCGUUGCCCGCGCUUGACUCUAAAGGGGAACUGCAAGAUGCGUCGACGGCAGCCGCACUCGCAACCACCACGGCUGCUUCUCACCUUCUCCCUCCGCUCACCCCGUCUCUCUUGUUCCACGUCGAGGACACAACGCGGCAGGCCUUCGAGGAUGCCUACCUGAGUCACGAUCGGUGCCUGCUGCUUCCAAGCGUGGGCAUGGGCGUCGACGUGGGAGAAGCAGGGAAGGAGGGCAGCCAUAUGAGCGCGUCUGCUGGAACCUCCUGUCCGUAUGAUGUAUCGUUGCUGUCCCAAGCGGCGCGGGCGGAGUGGUCAAACGCCUCCUUCGCCUCUGACUCGGACGACGAGGACACACGACGGUUCGCACCCUACUGCCCCUCUACAGGGUCGCGCACGCCAUCUCCGCAGCGCGUUCACACGGCGGCCUCGCCGGCCCUUCUCGGGUACCGCAGUGAGGAGCGCGCAGGCGACGGCGUCCUGGAAGCGAGCCCAGGCAGCAGUAUCGGCUGCGGUGCGGCGUUGCGUUCCUUCUCCUCUCCUCCGCCACCACGAGCGUCUUCGCCGCGAUCGGCAUCGUGCCCUCCACUGCACACAGGCAUCAACGCAUCCGCCUCACUUGCAGUGGAUGCACCCCAUGGGGGCGUCACGGCUGCCUGCACUUCCUCCCCAGCGGCGGCACCCGCCCCACAGCCCCGCAUCCCACUGCGCUUUGCGGACUAUGGCGAGGUAGACUUUGCGCGGGCCCACGCAGAGGAGCAGCAUCGCCUCCAUCACGGGCUACUGCCGUGCAGUCUCUGCACGUUGCCGCUGCAGCCCUCGUGUGUGGCGUACUGCAGCCGCGCACCUUUCUGCACCCUACGCUGUCACCUGAGCUGCUUGGCGAUGUGGAUGCUGUAUGCCGAGGCAGAGGCGGCGGCUACCGUAGACGGCACUGAUAAAAGCCCUGCGCUGCUUUCGCAAGCGCCUCCGGCACCGAUAUCACCGCUCCGUCGUCUGAUCCCUUCCCAGCCAUGCCCGUGCCCCCUCUGCGGUGUUCUCCUGCACUGGGGCUCGCUUGUGAAGGAGUUGAAGAAGCGAGUGGUUGUGGAGCGGCGCCUGCACGCGGCACAGCGGCGCAUUCGCAUGGAACAGCGGUGGCAGGCGCGCCUGGCGCACAUUGACCACACAAAGAGAAGCACCAGUGCGGCGAUGCGGCGUCGGCAGCGGACGAGGGUGGGCGCCGCCGCACUAGCAAAAGGCGCCGGCGAGGCACCCGGUGCCGCUUCCACUGUACGAGCGUCCACGAUGCACGUGGGGCCCACACGGCGCGAUGCUCCGCGGGUGUCGUCACCGAGCUGUUUGGGUGAACCGACCCUGACAUCAUUCGCAGCUGCGGCCUCCUGCCCCUCUCCCUCCACCUCUUUGGCAGCGUUGUCUCCUGCGGCGAGUGCGUCGCCGAUCUCCCGCCACAACGGUCACUCGAACACCGUUACCGCCACUAAUACUGCCGUUGCUGCUGCUGCGGCGGUGUCUGACGCGUCUCUCUUGUCUCUGACGGACUUCUGCGAGGAGGACUGGCUGCUGCCAUGAGUCGGCCUGAUGCCACCGAGGGAGAAGAGGAGCCAAAGCAGAAGAGAAAAUGGAAGGACCAGACGUGUGUGCUCAAUGGCGGUCGGCCACCCUGUGCCCUUGGCCCAGUGUUGCGGAGUAGGUGUUGUACACGCAGGGCAGGGGAGAGAGGGCGUGCCGGCAUCCUCGGCGGCCUGGCCCCUCUCCGAUAUCUGUACGAGCAUCGAUUGUCUCUUUGCCGUUGCUCUUUACAUAUCCGCCCCUCCCCCGCCAAACCCUCGCGUCCGUGCCUCCCAUGAAGCAUGCGCAGCUCUGCGCUUUUCGAGGUGGUAGGGGGAGGGGUGGGAGUGGCUGGCCGUUUCUCCGCCUCCUUCCCUCCGCGCUCACGCGCGGCCACCUUCGCUGUGUAUCACAGAGCCGCUAUCGUUGGCGACAGAGCAACUGCUGCACAACUGAUGCAGGCAGUCUCUCCUUCGUAGAGAAUCGCGCACCCGCCCGCUCCAGCCCUCCCCUCCCCCCAGGCACAGACAAGCAGCGUACAGACGCCUAUCUGCCCAUCGAUGAAGUCGCCGUACCCACCCCCCUCUUCCUCUCUUCCUCCCCAUUUGUUGGCGAUCUCCAUCCUCGCCGAUUCGUGCGCGCAUGUGCGUGAGGGGUGCCGCAG